rnacentral:rRNA from 1 species
AUGCCGGCUCUGCGGCGAGCGGCGCUCGCAGGUGCUCCUCCUCCCCCCUUGGCUGUGCGGGCAGCGAGCCGUGGAGGCGUCGGGCGCAGGUCGCGGCGGGUGGCCUGGUGCCCCUGGCUGCGCGUCAGAUCUGGAGGUCCUUCCUCCCCCUUCCUUCGCCUUUUCCCCACUGGAUGUGGUCUGUGGCGGUCGAUGGUCGCCGGAUCCAUGGAAGGUGGGGACGCCGGAGGUGCGAGAUCGGUCCGAGAGAAAUCUUUGGCCGGUUUUCCGGUCACGACGGCGGCGACGCCUGCUGGCGCCGUUCCCCUUCUCGGAGGCGCCGUCGAGGUUCGAUCCCCGCCCCCUCCCUUCUCAUACCCGGGUGAAAACCUUAGCCAAUUCUGGGCUUGGCGGCAGCGGCGCGGCUUCCGCGUCGUCACCUUGCUGAAGGUGUCGUCUUGGGCGAGUGGGGGUGUGCACUGGCGUUUCAAUGUGGUUUUCUGGCGUGCAGCGACAUGGCAGUUGGAGACCGGCCGUGUGUGUGUGUUUGCUUGUCGAUGGGUCGACGCCAUUGCCAUGGUUGGGGAGGGGAUAGGGAUCCUCUCCCAGGUGAGUUGCUCCAAUUUCCGACGGUCCGGCGCCCUUCGAUUCAGGGUGAGGGCAGGGGUCCCCUUCGGAAUUGGAGAGGGAAGGCGGGUUCUCCUCGUGAAGUUCUCUCGCUGUCUUGCUUCGGCGCCGUUGAGGUCCCUGCCCUCCACCCCGACUUUAUGCCCAGGGGCUGGUAGAGGUGACAUCGGACUGAAGGAAACUCUGGAUGACUCGCUCAUCCCGAUGGUGGUGGCGACCAAGGUUGUCGUUCUCCUCCUUGCAGGCGCCGUCGAGGUCCCUGCCCUCCACCCCGACCCCAUGCCCAGCAAAAGAACAGAAACAACCAUGCAAGGUCCUAGCACCAGCACCAAGUCCUUCAAGGAGGCCUUCCUGAAGAACCUCCUCCUCCGCCUCCAGCUACAGGCACGCCCGAACACGUCCUUCGGCGGCACCACUAGCCUCCACGAGAGGAAGCGCGCCGUCAAGUCCUCCAUGGACGUCGCUAUGGCGACUGCGCAUGGCGGCGGAGCGAGGUGGCCCAAGGCCAUCUUGGAUCCGGCGUCCAGAGCGUGCAAGGUACAGAGGUGCCGGAGGAUCAUGAGGAGGUGCCGCGGCUGCAAGAGGAGCAACGUCGUGGGGAGGCUGGUGAGGAGGAGGAUGACGGCUCUGAGGGAGGUGAUACCAGGAGGCCGGGACUCCGCAGUCGACGAGGUCACCCUGCUCUGCGAGGCGAUGGACUAUGCCGUUCACCUGCGUGCUCAGGUCGACGUGCUCCGCCGGCCCUCCGAAGCCAUGUUCGAUGGCUCGGCCGGUUCGUCAAAACUUUAG